rnacentral:rRNA from 1 species
UACAGAGGGGGCAAGCGUUGUUCGGAAUUACUGGGCGUAAAGGGCGCGUAGGCGGCCUUCUAAGUCGAACGUGAAAUCCCUGGGCUCAACCCAGGAACUGCGUCCGAUACUGGAAGGCUUGAAUCCGGGAGAGGGAUGCGGAAUUCCAGGUGUAGCGGUGAAAUGCGUAGAUAUCUGGAGGAACACCGGUGGCGAAGGCGGCAUCCUGGACCGGUAUUGACGCUGAGGCGCGAAAGCCAGGGUAGCGAACGGG